GCUUAUGUCUCCAUAUGGUUGUUAAUAUGGUAGUUACUGUUUGUUAUUAUUGCAUUAUUGCAUGCGACUGUAUUUAUGUUGCUUAUGUUUUCAUGAGUUCUUACAUUAUUAUUGCAGGAGUACCUAUAGUUUAUUAUUUUGUUUUGUCUUGCUUGUGUUUCUAAUUUUACCUUUGUUUUCGUAAUGCAGAUUUCCCUCUUUUUAUCCGACACGCCGAG
rnacentral:lncRNA from 1 species